AGUGAACGCUGGCGGUAGGCCUAACACAUGCAAGUCGAACGGCAGCACAGUAAGAGCUUGCUCUUACGGGUGGCGAGUGGCGGACGGGUGAGGAAUACAUCGGAAUCUACUUUUUCGUGGGGGAUAACGUAGGGAAACUUACGCUAAUACCGCAUACGACCUACGGGUGAAAGCAGGGGAUCUUCGGACCUUGCGCGAUUGAAUGAGCCGAUGUCGGAUUAGCUAGUUGGCGGGGUAAAGGCCCACCAAGGCGACGAUCCGUAGCUGGUCUGAGAGGAUGAUCAGCCACACUGGAACUGAGACACGGUCCAGACUCCUACGGGAGGCAGCAGUGGGGAAUAUUGGACAAUGGGCGCAAGCCUGAUCCAGCCAUACCGCGUGGGUGAAGAAGGCCUUCGUGUUGUAAAGCCCUUUUGUUGGGAAAGAAAAGCAGCAGGUUAAUACCCCGCUGUUCUGACGGUACCCAAAGAAUAAGCACCGGCUAACUUCGUG
rnacentral:rRNA from 1 species